AUGGCUCAGGAUGAACGCUGGCGGCGUGCUUAACACAUGCAAGUUGCGCGGUGAUCUCAAGAAGUUUCGGACGGAAAGGAGAGCAGCAGCGGACGGGUGAGUAAAGCACAAGGACUUGUCCCGAAGAGGGGGGACAACUGUGGGAAACCACAGCUAAUACCCCAUAAGCCGAGAGGUGAAAGCAGCGAUGCGCUUUAGGAGAGACUUGUGUCCUAUCAGGUAGUUGGUGAGGUAACGGCUCACCAAGCCGAAGACGGGUAGCCGGACUGAGAGGUUGUACGGCCACAUUGGAACUGAGAGACGGUCCAGACUCCUACGGGAGGCAGCAGUGGGGAAUAUUGGGCAAUGGGGGCAACCCUGACCCAGCCGACGCCGCGUGAGGGAAGACUGCCCUAUGGGUUGUAAACUUCUUUUAUAAGGGAAUAAAGUGAGGGACGUGUCCCUUUUUGUAUGUACCUUAUGAAUAAGGAUCGGCUAACUCCGUGCCAGCCGCCGC
rnacentral:rRNA from 1 species